GCGCCGGUGGUGCAAUGGCGUAGAGCAUUCCCGCCCGGUCAGAGGGAGAUGCGGGUUCGAGUCCCGCCUGGCGUG
rnacentral:tRNA from 1 species